CCUUCAAUAGGCUCAAGAUGGGAGAGUCAGCCUUGCUUUAUGAUGGGGACCUUGUGUGUGACCAUGUGGUCACAGUGCCCCCUGCUGGCAGACUCUAUCAGGGCUCUGGGGCUGUUUGUGUGGGAGAAGCCAAGCUGGCCUGCCUGGCUCAAUAACCCACUUACUUUGACAGCCCCUAGAGACCCUGUCUGAGACCUCUUAGGGUGCCAAGAGGGGAGAAUUAGUUUUUAAGUCUAUGGUUUUCUCUUAAGUUUUAUCAGAGUUCUUUUUAUGAAGCAAUAAAUCCAUUUUCCUCUUGGUAAUGGAUGACCCUCCACAUAUCAGUGACCACUCUGCCUAUUUUAAGAUUGAGAGGGGAAGGGAAAUUAAAAUGCCAGACAGAGUGACACAUGCUUUCGUCCCAGCACUUGGAAGGCUGAAGCAGGCAGAGUUUGGGGCCAGCCUGGUCUACAUGGAGAGUUCCAGGGCUACAUAGUGAGACUCUGAUAUUCUGCUGGUGACAAACCCAGUUGCACCUGGGUGCUCUGUCCUGAGUGACACGUCCAGGGAGGGGCAUGGGCAAAGAAAAGCUCUGACUGCCCGGUACUCCAGGAAGGUGGGCUGUUCCCUCUGCUCGGUUCAAAGUAGGUAGGCCAGUCCAGAAGCUUCCAUCUCUGUUUCCUGUCAACUCAUAACCCCAAGGGUUGUUAUGUGGUGAUUCCAGGAGCACUAUAGGCCAAAUAGCUUCAGGAUGGAGUGAGGGCGGGCAUAGGUGAGAGGCCCCCAGGCCAAGUGUAGGCUCUGUAGUAACAGUGAGCUACAUCUUGGCUCCAGUCGGUUUAAACAGUAAAGUCAUUACCCCCAUAACAGCUGCUGGAAGCCUGUCUCUGUGGCUUCUUUUAGUCCAGUGGUGGAGCUCACUCUUUGCAAGGAGAAGGACUUAGGUUCUGUUUCCCAAAAGAACUGGAUCGGCAUUUUCAAAAACACACCUCUCAGAGUGCUGGUUUGUGAUGCCUUGAUGGUCGUUUUCUUUGGGGAAGUGUCUAGUCAAAUAUCGGGUAUGCAGAGUUAGGGUACCCACCACGCUUUGCCCAUGUUUGUAAACAUUGCAGCUGUCUGAGAAGGGGGUGUAGCACCAGGUGUGGUGGCAAGAGGCUCCUCUCUGAGUUUGAGGCCACAUGUUGAGUUCCAGGUUAGUCAGGACUACACAAUGAGACCCUGUUUUGUUUAAAGAAAAUCCACAAGUGUGCUGUCAGAAUGGUAGAGCUAAUGAAAAGUGGCACAGGCCUGUAAUGCCAGCAUCAGGAAGCAAGGAAUGGAAUGUAGUCGCUUCACACACAAGGGUGUGACCCGCAGCUGAGCCUGGAGGGACUAAACAUAGGAGCCAUGCCCUUCCUGCAUGUGUGACACAGGGGCCACUUGCAGAAGGUCCUGCAGUGUUAAGACUGUAGACUCCGGGGCAGGGCAAGUAUGUAGCUUAGUUGGUAGCAUGCUUGCCUAGCUUAGACAAAGCCCUGGGUUUGAUGCCCAGCCCCAAAUAAAACUGGGCAUGGUGGCACAUGCCUGUUAUCCCAACACUUGAGAGGUGGUAACAUCAGGAUCAGGGGUUGAAGUCAUCUUCGGUCACAUAGUGAGUUUGAAGGCAACCUGGGUUCCAGGAGAUCCCGUGUUUUUAAAACAACAAACGAUUGUCUAUGGGCCUCGCCUGUGUAUUUAUUUGAUUCUGGUGCCUCCCAGAGGUUCAGAUGCAUAAAGGAAGAGGGAAGUAGCUUGAACUACUGACAAAGCCCCUCCCUGCUAGGGACAUACUGAGGUUGGUUAGACUUGACCUGUGUUGUCCCCAGCAGCACUGAGGGGCCACACCUUUUGAGCAUGACAAUUUAAGGGAAUGUCCUAGGAUUGAGAAACUAGACAUUCAGAUGGAAAAGAGCCCAGAGCCAACAUUGCUUGAGGAUCAGAGGUAUCAGCCAGCAGCAGGGAACUCCCUAGUCAAGGGCCAUUCUGCCCCGAUUUGGCACAAAGUCUACAUGUUUUCCUAGUGUCUUUGAAUUACAGUAGCAGCCUAGAACAAAGUAGAUGCUUGGAGAAACUGUCCCAGAGAGAGAGAGAGAGAGAGAGGAGCUUGCUCACAGUGAGAACAAGGACUAUCAGGUGGCCCUCAGUCACUGAAGCAGCCAAGGCCCUCUAAGCCAAAACAUCCCAUUGAAAACAACAGCCCAAGGAGUGCCAAGCUUCCAAUAGAGCAGUAAAACCCAAGGAAGGGGUUUUGCAAGCUCAGGAUGGUCUCCCGUGUCUUGGAGCCAAAGCUUUCUCAGGUAUGGGACAAGCUAUUUGUACAAGGGUCAUUUGAGCCAUGGAGGCUGAUGGGUACUUGGAGGAAUAAUUCCCAGAUCACGUCAACCUCAAGGGGGGUAGCCUGAGAUAAGGACAGAACCACAGGCUAGACACGGGCAGAAGCACUAGCCUUUUCAUCUUUCCCCUUGUCCUGCAAGCUCUGGAGAUGGGAGGAACAGGAAGUGACACCCAGCCUUGUGGUUUCACUUGAUGAGCACAGGCAGAGCCAGUCUCACUUGCACCUCUGGAGACCACAGGGUCUAGACACAUCAAGGAUAGCUUCUUCUAGGCCACUGCACUCAUCACUUUCUGCUGGGGCCUAUUCACAGCUGGCUCCAACCUUCAUUAAGAUCAAAGACAAGGUACAGGCCUUUGGGAGCUACUUUCUUGUGUUAUGUCCCCCAUGCUGCAAUCCAUAAGUUCUGGUCAAAACUUGCACAUAGCUAGGCAGUGGUGGUGCACACCUUUAACCCCAGCACUCUGGAGGAAGAUACAGUCAGAUCUCUGAGUUCAAGGCCAACCCGGUCUACAGAGCAAGUUCCAGGACAGCCAGGGCUACACAGAGAAACCCUAUCUCAAAAAACCAAACACUUGCUGGGCAGUGGUGGCAAAAAUGCCUUUAGUCCCAGCACUCAGGAGUCAGAGGCAGGUGGAUCUCCUUGAGUUCAAGACCAGCCUGGUCUACAAGAGCUCAUUCCAGGAUAGCCUCCAAAGCCACAGAAAAACCCCCCCAAAAAAGUAAACACUUGUAUGUAAACCCUUACCAUGGUCUUGUACAUGCUAGGCAGUCUAAAGGGACUGGCCUAGGCCCUAUAGACACUGAAAAUGGGCAGAGGGACACAUCCAGUAUUGCAGUCAUGUGGACAGGACUGUCCCAGAGCAGCACAAACACAUUCAGCUAAGUAGAGUCAUGGGAGUCUUUUUGCUUUGCUUCAAGGCAGGAUCUCACUUGUCUCUUUAGUUGGCUUUGACCUGGUCAGCUUUCUGAGUGCCAAGGAUUGUAGGUUCACAGAUAUGCCCUGCUCAGUGGAAUUUGUUGCAUUUUCCUGUCAGCCUAGGCAGAUACACCAUCUGGAGAGACUGGUGAUGGGUAGGGACAAGCUUAUGACAGCCUGUGGUGAAAGUGUCCUGCUCAGAGCUCUGCAGUUGUCUCAACAGAGCUAGGCUAUGGGGGCCAUUACAGCCUCAGUGCUGUUACCUAUGAAGGACACUAAGACAGGUUCCCAUGGGCUUUGGGGGCAUUGAGGUUCCUUAUCUGUGCAAGUUACCAGGGUCCAACUAGCUACUUUUCCUCACACAUAGACCAUGGCCUGUGAGGAUAAGAGCGCCUGAAUGGUUCAGGGGGGCUUGCUUAUCCUCAGCCUGUAGCCCUUCCUUGGGUUGAGGGUCAAGGUGAGACUGUCCCCAAGCUCUAACUCACUCUGUGGGCAGAGCCUCCUAAAUGUUCAGGAGAGUCAGUGUCCUCUAGGAAGAAGGCAUCAUGGCCCUGCCAACACAGCUACCAUCUGUACCCCUUGGUCCCUGCAGUGAGUCAUUGUUACAUGGAAAGUUCCAAGACAGGUCCAUGGGUCACUUCCUAACCUUGACUUCUCUGAGCGAAGCACAGAGGUUAGCAGCAUAUGUCAUUUUCAGGAAAAUCUUGAGUAUCAUUUCCUACAAUGAAAUGGAGGCAUCUGUGCCCUCACAGAGUGGCUAAGGGGACCUGUAGCUAAGUCACAUGAGCAUGGUGUGUGUAGCAUGAGACAGAAACUUAACCAUCUUGGCACUAGAGAAGGACAGCCAGUACAGGGAAUGAGGCAUCCCCUCCCUCCUCAUGUAACAGGACACUGACUCAAGGUGACUGACUAUGCCAGACUGGUAGCCAAAUAAAAAUGGUAAGGUCAGUACCACUGACCUGGGUCCCCUGAGAACUUCUACAGUGGAGCCUUAAGUUCUCUUCUUCCCCACUUUUCCAUUUUGUCUUUGGCCAAAGAGUUUUAGGAGCAGAGGUCCCAGCCCUGGGUGGUCCUUCUAUACCACCUUUUUGAAUGACUGAUUGACCAGGUGUGUGUGUGUGUGUGUGUGUGUGUGUGUGUGUUGGUCUGAGAUGUUGUGGUGUUCCUGUAUCAAGAGAGAUGUGUAGGGGUGCCUGUGUGCUGUAACACCUGUGUGCAUGUAUGUGCGUGUUUUCUGAGAUGCACUGGUGUGCCUGUGUGCUGUAACACCUGUGUGCAUGUAAGUGCGUGUGUUCUGAGAUGCACUGGUGUGCCUGUGUGCUGUAACACCUGUGUGCAUGUAAGUGCGUGUGUUCUGAGAUGCACUGGUGUGCCUGUGUGCUGUAACACCUGUGUGCAUGUAAGUGCGCGUGUUCUGAGAUGCACUGGUGUGCCUGUGUGCUGUAACACGUGUGUAUGUAAGUGCGUGUUUUCUGAGAUGCACUGGUGUGCCUGUGUGCUGUACACCUGUGUGUAUGUAAGUGCGUGUGUUCUGAGAUGCACUGGUGUGCCUGUGUGCUGUAACACCUGUGUGCAUGUAUGUGCGUGUGUUCUGAGAUGUACUGGUGUGCCUGUGUGCUGUAACACCUGGAGGCAGAGGAAGGAAAGGCCCAUUGUGUCCCUUUCUGUUACUAGGAGCAUCCAGGCAGGUUACAAUCCAGGUCAUGUCAAAGGUCCAGCCCAAGCCUUAGAGUGAGGCCUGAAGGUGUGCUCUUCUUAUGUUCAUCAGGGUCACAUAAUGUCACUGAUAGCAACUGACCUUGGGUCUUACCUGUCACUUUACUGUUCCUGGCCCCCAGCAUACUCCUUGGCACACAGUAAGCACUGAAUAAAUGUAUGCUGAAAAUGAUGAAGAACUCCUCUGUGGCUCCCACGUCUCUUUCUGCUGGGAUCACACCACCCUUGCUCAUGCUGCAGCCUGUGUAGGAGGGACUAUGAAGUCCAGGAGCAGGAGAGGGGACGGGGCCACUCAGGAAAGGACUCAGGGAGGAGAUGCUAGGAGGAUAAGCAGAGCCACAGUGUGAGCUCUGUGGCCAGGCAGGAGCAGCUUGACUUUGACCUUGACCUCAAGGACGAACCAGGAUGUGGAAACUUCAGCCCCCACUUGAGGAGACAGCAGUUCCUGUCAGGUGGAGAUGCGCCCCACGGGGCCAGAUCUUUUUCUUUCUCUUUCUUUCUUUCUUUUUUUUUUCUG
ensembl:lncRNA